AUACACGGGGCUAAGCUGGACACCGAAGCGGCGGGAUUUUACCUAAGUAGAAUCGGUAGGGGAGCUUCCCAUGGGCGGUGAAGCCGCCGGGCGACCGGCGGUGGAGCGCAUGGGAGUGAGAAUGCUGGCAUGAGUAGCGAGAGACGAGAGAGUAACUCGUCCGCCGUGAACCCGAGGUUUCCUGGGCAAGGCUAAUCCUCCCAGGGUCAGUCGGGGGCUAAGGCGAGGCCGGGAGGCGUAGCCGACGCGCAGCAGGCAGACAUUCCUGCACCGCGCACGCGGCGCUACGACCGACGGGGCGACGGAUGGGGGUGGCUCGGCGGGGUUCUGGACGUCCCCGUGAUGGAGCGCGGCCCGCGGACCAGGGAAAUCCGGUCCGCACGAGGGCGAGGCUCCGGACGAAGCACUUAAGCGAAGCGAGUGAGCCCGAGGUCCCUAGAAAAACCCCUAGGCAGGCGCGUGCGCGCCCGUACCGCAAACCGACACAGGUGGGUGGGUAGAACAUACCGAGGCGAUCGGGUCAACCAUGGUCAAGGAACUCGGCACAAUGGCCCCGUAACUUCGGGAGAAGGGGUGCCCGCGCGUACGUGAACGGACUUGCUCCGGGAGCGGAGGCGGGCCGCAGUGGAGAGGCCCAAGCGACUGUUUACCAAAAACACAGGACUCUGCAGAAGCCGCAAGGCGACGUAUAGGGUCUGACGCCUGCCCGGUGCCGGAAGGUCACGCGGAGGAGUUAGCGCAUCGCGCGAAGCCCCGAAGCCAAGCCCCGGUAAACGGCGGCCGUAACUAUAACGGUCCUAAGGUAGCGAAAUUCCUUGUCGGGUAAGUUCCGACCUGCACGAAAGGCGCAACGACUUGGGCGCUGUCUCGACCAUGGACCCGGUGAAAUUGCACUGGUCGUGAAGAUGCGACUUACCCGCGGAAGGACGGAAAGACCCCGUGAACCUUCACUGCAGCUUGGCAUUGGCCGCUGGUCCCGCGUGUAGAGGAUAGGCAGGAGGCAUCGAUCCGGAGGCGCCAGCCCCCGGGGAGCCGCCCUUGGAAUACUGCCCUCGCGCGACCGGCGUCCUAACCCGAGGCCGUCACCCGGCUCGGGGACCGUGCCAGGCGGGCAGUUUGACUGGGGCGGUCGCCUCCUAAAGGGUAACGGAGGCGCGCGAAGGUCCGCUCGGGACGGUCGGCAACCGUCCUUUUGAAUGCAAGAGUACAAGCGGGCUUGACUGCGAGGCCCACGAGCCGAGCAGGUGCGAAAGCAGGCUCUAGUGAUCCGGCGGCCCCGAGUGGGUGGGCCGUCGCUCAACGGAUAAAAGGUACUCCGGGGAUAACAGGCUGAUCUUGCCCAAGAGUCCACAUCGACGGCAAGGUUUGGCACCUCGAUGUCGGCUCAUCGCAUCCUGGGGCUGGAGCAGGUCCCAAGGGUACGGCUGUUCGCCGUUUAAAGCGGUACGCGAGCUGGGUUCAGAACGUCGUGAGACAGUUCGGUCCCUAUCCUCCGUGGGCGCAGGAGAAUCGAUGGAGGCUGCCCCCAGUACGAGAGGACCGGGGUGGACGCACCUCCGGUGAACCGGUUGUCGACCAACGGCACGGCCGGGUAGCCGCGUGCGGCGCGGAUAACCGCUGAAGGCAUCUAAGCGGGAAGCCGUUCCAGGGAUUAGUUCUCCUUCCGGUAAGGGCCCAGGUAGACUACCUGGUCGAUAGACGGCAGGUGCAAGGGCGGCGACGCCCUCAGCCGAGCCGCACUAAUCGCCCGAGCUCUUCC
rnacentral:rRNA from 1 species